rnacentral:rRNA from 2 species
UCGGGUGGAACUGUGAGUAUACUUAGUGGCGGACGGGUGAGUAACGCGUGAGCAAUCUGCCCUGCAAUGGGGGACAACAGUUGGAAACGACUGCUAAUACCGCAUAAGACCACGAAACCGCAUGGUUUAGAGGUAAAAGGAUUCAUUCGAUGCAGGAUGAGCUCGCGUCCCAUUAGAUAGUUGGUGAGGUAACGGCCCACCAAGUCAACGAUGGGUAGCCGACCUGAGAGGGUGAUCGGCCACAUUGGAACUGAGAAACGGUCCAAACUCCUACGGGAGGCAGCAGUGGGGAAUAUUGGGCAAUGGGGGAAACCCUGACCCAGCAACGCCGCGUGAAGGAAGAAGGCCUUCGGGUUGUAAACUUUUGUCCUAUGGGACGAAAAAAAUGACGGUACCAUAGGAGGAAGCUCCGGCUAACUACGUGCCAGCAGCCGCGGUAAUACGUAGGGAGCAAGCGUUGUCCGGAAUUACUGGGCGUAAAGGGUGCGUAGGUGGCCAUGUAAGUCAGGUGUGAAAGACCGGGGCUCAACCCCGGGGUUGCACUUGAAACUGUGUGGCUUGAGUACAGGAGAGGGAAGUGGAAUUCCUAGUGUAGCGGUGAAAUGCGUAGAUAUUAGGAGGAACACCAGUGGCGAAGGCGACUUUCUGGACUGUAACUGACACUGAGGCACGAAAGCGUGGGGAGCAAACAGGAUUAGAUACCCUGGUAGUCCACGCCGUAAACGAUGGAUACUAGGUGUGGGGGGCGAUAGUCCUCCGUGCCGAAGCUAACGCAUUAAGUAUCCCGCCUGGGGAGUACGAUCGCAAGGUUGAAACUCAAAGGAAUUGACGGGGGCCCGCACAAGCAGCGGAGCAUGUGGUUUAAUUCGAAGCAACGCGAAGAACCUUACCAAGGCUUGACAUCCUCUGACGCAUAUAGAGAUAUAUGUUCCCUUCGGGGCAGAGAGACAGGUGGUGCAUGGUUGUCGUCAGCUCGUGUCGUGAGAUGUUGGGUUAAGUCCCGCAACGAGCGCAACCCUUGUUGCUAGUUGCCAGCACGUAAAGGUGGGAACUCUAGUGAGACUGCCGGGGACAACUCGGAGGAAGGUGGGGACGACGUCAAAUCAUCAUGCCCCUUAUGUCUUGGGCUACACACGUGCUACAAUGGCCGGUACAAAGGGCAGCGACCUCGUAAGAGUAAGCGAAUCUCAAAAAGCCGGCCCCAGUUCGGAUUGUGGGCUGCAACCCGCCCACAUGAAGUCGGAGUUGCUAGUAAUCGCGAAUCAGCA